UGACACCCAAUGUGGGGCUUGAGAAUGUGGAGGAUCUGUGACCGUCACACACCAAAGAAGGCCUGCAUGUCAGUUGGACCACUGUGGAGAAUGCUCCACAAACGAAGGUCCAGUCAAGUGAUUGCCACGGGGAUGCUGGACUGUGAGACAGAUCCGGGGAGUUGAUUUGUGCCAACGCUAGUUAAGUUUACCAUGGGACAAGCAUUUAGUAAGCAGGAUUUAUUUAUUNCAGGACUUAAAGAGUCUCUCAAGACACGAGGAACAAGGGUUAAAAAGAAAGAUUUUAAAAAGUUUCUUGAUUAUAUUGGGGACCUUUGUCCCU
rfam:Neotoma lepida isolate 417 scaffold_3888, whole genome shotgun sequence.